UACGUAGGGUGCGAGCGUUGUCCGGAAUUAUUGGGCGUAAAGAGCUCGUAGGCGGCCUGUCGCGUCGGAUGUGAAAGCCCGGGGGCUUAACCCCGGGUCUGCAUUCGAUACGGGCAGGCUAGAGUGUGGUAGGGGAGAUCGGAAUUCCUGGUGUAGCGGUGAAAUGCGCAGAUAUCAGGAGGAACACCGGUGGCGAAGGCGGAUCUCUGGGCCGUAACUGACGCUGAGGAGCGAAAGCAUGGGGAGCGAACGGG
rnacentral:rRNA from 1 species